rnacentral:rRNA from 1 species
GAUGAACGCUAGCUACAGGCUUAACACAUGCAAGUCGAGGGGAAACGAUGAGAGAGCUUGCUCUCUUAGUCGUCGACCGGCGCACGGGUGAGUAACGCGUAUCCAACCUGCCUCUGACCAAGGGAUAACCCGUCGAAAGUCGGACUAAUACCUUAUGCAGUCGUCGGAAGUCAUCUGAUGACGACGAAAGAUUUCAUCGGUGAGAGAUGGGGAUGCGUCUGAUUAGCUUGUUGGCGGGGUAACGGCCCACCAAGGCGACGAUCAGUAGGGGUUCUGAGAGGAAGGUCCCCCACAUUGGAACUGGGACACGGUCCAAACUCCUACGGGAGGCAGCAGUGAGGAAUAUUGGUCAAUGGGCGUAAGCCUGAACCAGCCAAGUAGCGUGCAGGAUGACGGCCCUAUGGGUUGUAAACUGCUUUUAGGCGGGGAUAAAGUGAGGGACGUGUCCUUCAUUGCAGGUACCGCAUGAAUAAGGACCGGCUAAUUCCGUG